rnacentral:rRNA from 1 species
AGCCAUGCAUGUUUCCGCAAUCAGGGACGAAUAGCUCAGUAAAACUGCGAUGAUUUAGUCUGGCUGUGUAGAUAACUACGUGAAAAUGUAGCUAAGGGAAGGCAGAAUAAGACGCAGGACUAUCAGUUAGUUGGUAGUGUAAUGGACUACCAAGACAGUGACGGUUGACGGGAAAUUAGGGUUUUGUACCGGAGAGGGAGCCUGAGAGAUUGCUCCCACGUCCAAGGACGGCAGCAGGCGCGAAAAUUGCCCACUCUUUGCAGGAGGCAGUUAUGAGACGUGAAGAUGAGUAUCUUGUAAAGAGGGAUAGGAGAAUUGGAGGGCAAGUUUGGUGCCAGCAGCCGCGGUAAUACCGACUCCAAGAGUGUGUAUGAGAGAUGCUGCAGUUAAAAAGUCCGUAGUCAUAGAAGGGCAAAGAGAGAUGCGAGGUCUCACAGUGCGAUGAUGGAGGAGCCGAUGGGGAACAUA